rnacentral:rRNA from 1 species
UGAGUAAUGUCUGGGAAACUGCCUGAUGGAGGGGGAUAACUACUGGAAACGGUAGCUAAUACCGCAUAACGUCGCAAGACCAAAGAGGGGGACCUUCGGGCCUCUUGCCAUCGGAUGUGCCCAGAUGGGAUUAGCUAGUAGGUGGGGUAACGGCUCACCUAGGCGACGAUCCCUAGCUGGUCUGAGAGGAUGACCAGCCACACUGGAACUGAGACACGGUCCAGACUCCUACGGGAGGCAGCAGUGGGGAAUAUUGCACAAUGGGCGCAAGCCUGAUGCAGCCAUGCCGCGUGUAUGAAGAAGGCCUUCGGGUUGUAAAGUACUUUCAGCGGGGAGGAAGGGAGUAAAGUUAAUACCUUUGCUCAUUGACGUUACCCGCAGAAGAAGCACCGGCUAACUCCGUGCCAGCAGCCGCGGUAAUACGGAGGGUGCAAGCGUUAAUCGGAAUUACUGGGCGUAAAGCGCACGCAGGCGGUUUGUUAAGUCAGAUGUGAAAUCCCCGGGCUCAACCUGG